AGGGUGACAGGUGGUGCAUGGUUGUCGUCAGCUCGUGUCGUGAGAUGUUCGGGGUUAAGUCCCGCAACGAGCGCAACCCUCGACCUUAGUUGCCAGCAUUCAGUUGGGCACUCUAAGGUGACUGCCGGCUAAAAGUCGGAGGAAGGUGGGGAUGACGUCAAAUCAUCAUGCCCCUUAUGACCUGGGCUACACACGUGCUACAAUGGGCGGUACAAAGGGUCGCGAACCCGCGAGGGGGAGCCAAUCCCAAAAAGCCGCUCUCAGUUCGGAUUGCAGGCUGCAACUCGCCUGCAUGAAGCCGGAAUCGCUAGUAAUCGCGGAUCAGCAUGCCGCGGUGAAUACGUUCCCGGGCCUU
rnacentral:rRNA from 1 species